UAAUGCUGGCUGGAAGGAAAAAGUUCAGUUUAGGGUUUAAAACCCUAAUGCUAACUAAAAGGAAAAUUCAGUUUAGGGUUUAAAACCCUAAUGCUGAUUGCAUGGAAGAGCUCAGUUUAGAGUUUAAAACUCUAAUGCUGGCUGAAAGAAAAAAGUUCAGUUUAGGGUUUAAAAUCCUAAUGCUAACUAAAAGGAAAAUUCAGUUUAGGGUUUAAAACCCUAAUGCUGAUUGCAUGGAAAAGCUCAGUUUAGAGUUUAAAACUCUAAUGCUGGCUGAAAGAAAAAAGUUCAGUUUAAGGUUUAAAACCCUAAUGCUGAUUGCAUGGAAAAGCUCAGUUUAAGGUUUAAAACCCUAAUGCUGGCUGGAAGGAAAAGUUCAGUUUAGGGUUUAAAACCCUAAUGCUGACUAAAAGGAAAAUUCAGUUUAGGGUUUAAAACCCUAAUGCUGAUUGCAUGGAAAAGCGCAGUUUAGAGUUUAAAACUCUAGUGCUGGCUGAAAGAAAAAAGUUCAGUUUAGGGUUUAAAACCCUAAUGCUGACUAAAAGGAAAAUUCAGUUUAGGGUUUAAAACCCUAAUGCUGAUUGCAUGGAAGAGCUCAGUUUAGAGUUUAAAACUCUAAUGCUGGCUGAAAGGAAAAAGUUCAGUUUAGGGUUUAAAACCCUAAUGCUAACUAAAAGGAAAAUUCAGUUUAGGGUUUAAAACCCUAAUGCUGAUUGCAUGGAAAAGCUCAGUUUAAGGUUUAAAACCCUAGUGCUGGCUGGAAGGAAAAGUUC
rnacentral:lncRNA from 1 species